rnacentral:rRNA from 1 species
CCUACGGGAGGCAGCAGUGGGGAAUAUUGCACAAUGGGGGAAACCCUGAUGCAGCGACGCCGCGUGAGUGAAGAAGUAUUUCGGUAUGUAAAGCUCUAUCAGCAGGGAAGAAAAUGACGGUACCUGAUUAAGAAGCCCCGGCUAACUACGUGCCAGCAGCCGCGGUAAUACGUAGGGGGCAAGCGUUAUCCGGAUUUAUUGGGUUUAAAGGGUGCGCAGGCGGAAUGUCAAGUCAGCGGUAAAAUUUCGGGGCUCAACCCCGUCGUGCCGUUGAAACUGGCGUUCUUGAGUGAGCGAGAAGUAUGCGGAAUGCGUGGUGUAGCGGUGAAAUGCUUAGAUAUCACGAAGAACUCCGAUUGCGAAGGCAGUUCACUGGACUGCAACUGACACUGAGGCUCGAAAGUGUGGGUAUCAAACAGGAUUAGAUACCCGUGUAGUC